ACCCCCCAAAAAAUGGUCUCAAGAUGUGCAAUUGUCUGUGAAGUUUUACUAGCAAUCUUGCUUCCUCCUCUUGGUGUUUGCCUCCGCCGUGGUUGCUGCACUUUGGAGUUGUUGAUUUGCUUGGUGUUGACCAUAUUAGGCUAUGUUCCUGGAAUUAUUUAUGCUCUCUAUAUAAUCAUCUUUGCUGAGACUGAAGCACCAAGUGAUCGUUAUGACACUCUUGCUUGAUCCUUAUGUUGUGGUUGUCUUGUUUUAGCUUGUAUUUUACUUAUUAUUUGGACAUGAACUAUGUAUGUAUAUUGUACCCUAUGUCACUUGUUUUGAAUCAACUCUUGCAAUAUAAAUGUAUGUAAGUUUUCAGUGUUUUACA